UUUUAAUUCUUAUCUGUGGGUAUAUAAUUGGUAUAUAUAUUUAUGGAGUAUAUGAGAUAUUUUGAUAUGGACAUACAAUGUAUAAAAAUCACAUGCGGGUAAGUGGGAUAUCCAUCACAUCAAGCAUUUAUCCUUUGUGUUACAAACAAUCCAAUUAUACUCUUGAUUUUUUUUUCUUAUUUCACUUAAAGUAUCUUGGUUGUUUUAAAAUGUACAAUUAUUAUUGACUAUAGUCACCCUGUUAUGCUAUCAAAUACUACAUCUUAUUCUCUUUUUUUGUACCCAUUAAAACCAUCCCCACUUCCCCCAAACCUUCCCCACUACCCUUCCCAGCCUUUGGUAACCAUCAUUCUACUCUCUUAUCUCUGUGAGUUCAGUGGUUUUAAUUUUUAGCUCCCACAAAUAAGUGAGAACAUGUGAAGUGUGUCUUUCUGUGCCUAGCUUAGUUCACUUAACAUAGUGAUCUCCAGCUUCCUCCAUGUUGUUGCAAAUGACAGGAUCUCAUCCUUUUUAUGGCUGAGUAGUACUCCAUUGUGUAUAAGUGCCACAUUUUCUCUAUCCAUUCAUCUGUUGAUGGACACUUAGGUUGUUUCCAAAUCUUGGCUGUUGUAAAUAGUGCUGCAGUAAACGUGAGAAUGCAGAUAUCCCUUCGAUAUACUGAUUUCCUUUCUUUUGGGUAUAUACCUAGCAGUGGUAUUAUGGGAUCAAAUGAUAGCUCUGUUUUUAACUUUUUGAGGAACCAUAGUGGUUGUACUAAUUUACAUUCCCAACAGCAGUGUACGAGGGUUCCCUUUUCUCCACAGCCUUGCCAGCAUUUGUUAUUGCCUGUCUUUUGGAAAAAAAGCUAUUUUAACUGGAGUGAGAUAGUAUCUGAUUGUAGUUUUGAUUUGCAUUUCUCUGAUAAUCAGUGAUGUUGAGCACCUUUUCACCUGUUUGCCAUUUGUAUAUGAAAUGUAUAUUGAGAAAUGUCUAUUCAAAUCUUUGCCCAUACUUUGAUUGGAUUAUUAGAUUUUUUCCUAUAGAGUUGUUUGAGCUCCUUAUGUAUUCUGGUUAUUAAUUCCAGAAGGAUAGUUUGCAAAUAUAUUCUCCCAUUCUGUGGGUUUUGUCUUCACUUCGUUGUUUUCUUUGCUGUGCAGAAGCUUUUUAAUUUUAUGUGAUCUUAUUUAUCCAUUUUUGUUUUGGUUGCCUGUACUUGUGAGGUAUUACUCAAGAAAUCUUUGCUCAGACCAAUCUCCUGGAGAGAUUCUCUCAUGUUUUCUCUUAUUAGUUUCAUAGUUUGAGGUCUUAGAUUUAAGUCUUCAAUUCAUUUUUUUAAUUUUUGUAUGUGGUAGGAUGGGUCUAAUUUCAUUCUUCUGCAUAUUGAUAAUCCAGUUUUCCCAGCAUUGGGGAAAGAAACUGUCCUUUCCCCAAUGUAUGUGCUUGGCAUCUUUGUCAAAAAUGAGCUCAUGGCGGAUAUAUGGAUUUAUUUCUGGGUUCUCUUCUGUUUUAUUGGUCUGUGUCUAUUUUUAUGCCAGUACCAUGCUGUUUUGGUUACUAUAGCUCUGUGGUAUAAUUUGAAGCAGGUAAUGUGAUUCCUCCAAUUUUCUUCUUUUUGCUUCAGAUAGCUUUGGCUAUUCUGGGUCUUUUGUGGUUUCAUGUAAAUUUUAGGAUUUUUUUUUCCAUUUCUGUGAAGAAUGUCAUUGAUACUUUGAUAGGGAUUGCAUUGAAUCUGUAAAUUGCUUUGGGUAGUAUAGACAUUUUAACAAUAUUGAUUCUUUUAAUUAAUGAACAUGGGAUAUCUUUCUAUUUUUUUGUGUCCUCUUCAAUUUACAAAGUACAUCAACUUUUUAUAGUUUUCAUUGUAGAGAUCUUUCACUUUGUUUAAUUCCUAGGUAUUUAAUUUUAUUUGUAGCUGUUGUAAAUGAAAUUAUUGAUUUCCUUUUCAGAUUAUUGUUGGCUUAUAGAAAUGCUACUGAUUUUUAUAUGUUGAUUUUUUAUCUUACAACUUUAGUGAAUUUGUUAGUUAGUUCUAAUAGUUUUUUGGUGGUCUUUAGGUUUUUCCGAUUAAAAUAUCAUAUCAUUGGCAAACAAUGAUAAUUUGACUUCUUUCUUUCCAAUUUGGAUGUCCUUUAUUUCUUUCUCUUGCCUGAUUGCUCCAGCUAGGACUUCCAGUGCUAUGACAAAUAACAGUGGUGAAAGUGAGCAUCCUUGUGUUUCAGAUCCUAGAGGAAAGGAAGGCUUUCAGUUUUUUCCCAUUCAGCAUGAUACUAGUGGUGAGUCUAUCAUAUAUGGUUUUUAUUAUGUUGAGGCAUGUUCUUUCUAUACUCAAUUUUUUUUAGGGUUUUUAUCCUGAACAGAUGUUGAGUUUUAUCAAAUGCUUGUUUUAGCAUCAGUUGAAAUGAUCAUUUGUUUUUGUCCUUCAUUCUGUUAACAUGGGGUAUCACGUUGAUUGAUUUGCAUAUGUUGAACUAUUUUUGCAGCCCUGGGAUAAAUUCCAUUUGGUCGUGAUGAAUGAUCUUUUUAAUAUGUUGUUGAAUUUUGUUUGCUAGUAUUUUGUUGAGGAUUUUUAGAUCAAUAUUUAUCAGUGAUGCUGGCCUAUAGUUUUUUUUUUCUUUUUAUGUGUGUCUGGUUUUGGCAUCAGAGUAAUAAUGGCCUCAUAGGAUCAGUUUGGAAGUAUUCCCUCCUGCUUUAUUUUUUAGAAUAGUUUGAGUAGGAUUGGUAUUAGUUCUUCCUUAAAUGUUUGCUAGAAUUCAGCAGUGAAGCCAUCAGGUCCCAGGCUUUUCUUUGCUGGGAGACUUUUUGGCUUUGAUCUUGUUAUUUUUUAUAUGUCUGUUCAGAUUUUGGAUUUCUUCAUGGUUCAAUCUUGCUAGGUUUUAUGUGUCUAGGAAUAUAUCCAUUUCUUCUAGGUUUUCUCAUUUAUUGGCACAUACUUGUUCAUUGUAGUCUCUAAUGAUCCUUCUAAUUUCUACAGUAUUGGUUAUAAUGUCUCCUUUUUCACCUCUGAUUUUAUUUAUUUGGGUCUUCUUUUUUUUUUCUUAGUCUGGCUAAAAGGUCACCAAUUUUGUUUAUCUUUUCAGAAAAACCAACCAUUUGUUGAUCUUUUGUAUUUUAUUUCAAUUUCAUUUAUAUCUGCUCUGAUCUUUAUUAUUUCUUCUACUAAUUUUUGAUUUGGUUUGGUCUUGCUUUUCUAGUUCUUUAAGAUGCAUUGUUAGAUUGUUUUCUCUGAUGUCACUUUGUAGUGCCCUUUUACUUUUAUUCUGACCUUUGGAGAUUAGAAUGAGGUGUAAAUUCUGAGCCUGAGCCUCAGAGAUUGCAUGUUUCCUCUCGGGCCUCUGCCAUUGCUGUGAGCACAUGUUUAGUUAAAUCUGUUAGAGGAAGUGAGGGAGAACAAACCCAGGUUGCCGCACCUGAAGCCAGCUAACCCUCAGACAUGUAAGCAAGCACAGCUAAAAUCAGUAGAGCUGCCUAGCCAAACCCCAACUCAUCCCAGACACAUGAGCAAUAAACUUGUAUGCCCCUGAGGAUUUGUGGUUGAUACAGAGCAUUGUUGUGACAUUAGACAGUUAAUAUUGUGACAUACGAACACUGAAUUAACAAUUUUUGUGGCUGGGCAUUUCUAGGUUUUUUCUUUUUCUUUUUUCCCAUAAAAAUUUGUUUCAUUUCUCAUUAUUUUCUGAGAAUAUAUAUGUAAGGAUGAAUUUACUGUGUCAAAGAGCAUAUAAGAAUCUCAGUACAUAGAAAAAUCCUUUUUAGAAAGGUCGUACCUACCAUGUAAUGCAGUUUAUGAGAUUGCCUCUUUUACAGUCUUACUGUUCUUGAUGUUUGGUAUGUUUUCUCUUUUAAUGUUUUCUAGGCUCACUUUAGGUGAAGCCCAGUCUGUAGUGAUCUGUUAGAUGAACUUCUGUAGCAGUUACAAUCUGUUCUACGUGGUUAGUUUUAUAAACCUCCUGAGUUAUUAUCAUUAACAUUUUUAUAUGUAUGUCUUUCUCUCCAACUAGGCUAUAUAUUUCCUUAGGGCAGCACAAAUAUAGCACAAUGCAUAGGUCCUCAAGUAUGUAGUUAGUAGUACAAUCUGAUUUGAGCUACAAUUUUGAAAAAUGAGUGGUCUUUUUGGGUGGGUAUUGCUUUGCUUUAAAUAACUCUUUGAGAGUCCACUCAUGAAGCAAGAAGUCAAGCAGAUUUUUAAGGCUUUGGAGAGGUGGUAAAUAGAACUUAUAGAGAGAGUUGUCCAUAUUGGUCAAGACUUUAUUUUGUUUGUAGAAGCCAAAUGUGCAUCUAAUCCUAUACAUUGUUAAAUUUUAUGAGUAGUGCUGUGUCUGGAGUUGUUUCCUUCUGGUGGGUUCAUGGUCUCGCUGACUUCAAGAAUGGAGCCAUGGACCUUCACAGUGAGUGUUACGGCUCUUAAAGAUGGCACAGACCCAAAGAGUGAGCAAGAUUUAUUGUGAAGAGCAAAAGAAUAAACCUUCUACAGCCUGGAAGAGGACCUGAGUGGGUUCUGGCUGCUGGCUGAGAUGGCCAGCUUUUAUUCCCAUAUUUGUCCCCUCCUAUGUCCUGUUUCUGUCCUAUCAGAAUGCCCUUUUCUCAAUCCUCCUUGCGAUUGGUUACUUUUAGAAUCUUGCUGAUUGGUCCAUUUUCCAGAGUGCUGAUUGGUCCAUUUUACAGAGCGUUGAUUGGUGCAUUUUACAAACCUCUUGCUAGCUACAGAGCACUGACUGGUGCGUUUUACAAUCCUAGCUACAGAGCGCUGAUUGGUGCGUUUUACAAUCCUCUUGUAAGACAGAAAAGUUCUCCAAGUCCCCACUGGACCCAGGAAGUCCAGCUGGCUUCACCUCUCAGUGCUAAUUAGUCAACCACAGAAGUCUGAUAUUGUAGUAUUAGCACAGACUGUUCAGUUUUAACACACAGUAAAUUAUUUUCUUCCUCCAGAGAAUUUUAUUGUGUAUAAUGUCACAUAUGUUAUUUAUAAAUAAUCCUGUGGACAGACAACUACAAAUGACCUAUACAGAGAAGAAAAACUAUUGGGAGAUAUUCAAGAACUAGAAAAUAUGUCUGGUAGUUUUCCUGUGUUUAUGGAUUUGGACCAGAAUAAUGCUAAUGGGCUGACUACUCAACAAAGGACAAGAUAAAUCAGUGUACAUGUGGAUUCAAGAGUGUUCUAUACUAAGAGAGUGCUGUAGAAGUCCCCAUGGAAUGUUACUAGAUUCCUGGGAUGAUGAUACUGAAUAGUCUGGAAUGUGGCAUUCUUUGUCUCAAAGAGAGUCUUUAAAAAAAUCUGUGUUCUGAUGGUAGAGUUCCAAUUUUGGCAUUUUGCCUUCUGUGAUAAUAGAUAGACUUUGACUCUAGGUAAAUUUGUGGUGGAGCAAAAGUUCGUUUGGGGUUGUUCCACUUACCCCUUACUCUUUGCCCUCCCUAGUCAUGUUUGUCCUCUUUUCUUUCUUUAUAGGCAAUGGCCUGAUACUCAUAGUCAGGAAUAAAUAAAUAGUUAUGGUUUAAAAUAUUAUUCUUGAGAGUAUUUUCAUCUUUGUCUGGGAACAAACAUGCUUAUUUGUACUUGAGUUCUUGUCCUUCUACCAUCAUCACUGGAAAAACAUCUCUGGGUAGUCACUGCCUCCCCAAACUGGACUCAGGAUGGAACUUUUGAAGCAGUGUUACCUACCCCAAACAACUCAAACCCAUAAGUAUGAGAAUAAAUGAUUAUUUUAAGCCACUGAGUUUUGGGGGUGGUUUCUUAUGCAGCAUUAUUGGCAAUAGCUGACUGAUACUCUCUACAUCUUUAAAAUUCAUUUCACUGUGCAACUUCUGAUGGGUAAUGCUUGCUCUGAUUAUAGAAGUAGGGCAACCCUCUUUCCCCAAACACCUACUAGGGUUAAAGUUCAGAUGAUAGUAGAUGUACCCCUAUCGAUUCUUUUAAAGUAGCUUGACUUUUUCUGCUAGUGUUGUCUUGAGUGGGUUAGUUAAUCCCCAUACAUUAUUUCUACACAUUACAGGUUUUACUGGUUUUAAUAGUACUCUGGAAGGUGGCUUGAGGUGGAGGAGUGAUAUGGUUUGGGUCUGUGUCCCCACCCAAAUCUCAUGUUGAAUUGUAAUUCCUGAUGUUGGGGAAGGGACAUGGAGGGAGGUGAUUGGAUCAUGGGGGAAUGGUUUCCCCUAUGCUGUUCUUGUGAUAGUAAGUGAGUUCUCAUGAGAUCUGACGGUUUUAUAAGUGUUUGGCUCCUCCCCCACCCCAUUCUGCCACCAUGUAAAGAAGGUGCUUGCUUUCCCUUCGUCUUCUGCCAUGAUUGUAAAUUUCCUGAGGCCUUCCAGUCAUGCUUCCUGUUAAGCCUGUGAAACUAUGAGUCAAUUAAACUUCUUUUCUUCAUAAAUUACCCAGUCUCAGAUUUCUUUAUAGCAGUGUGAAAACGGACUAAUAUACAAGGAGGGAUUGGGGAGGCUAAGAAGACAUAACUCCAAGUGUUCUUAGUCUUACUUCAGGCUGGGCCGCCUCUUAUUUCAGAUAUUGGCUUGUGGCAGUGUCAGUUUCCUAGUUUUGAUCCUGUACUAUGUUAUGUGAGAUGUUACCAUUGGGGGAGGCUGGGUGAAGACUACAGUUGACCCUUGAACAACACGCAUUUGAACUGUGAGGAUUCACUUGUAGGUGGAUUUUUUUUCAAUAAAUAUAUUAGAAAAUAUUUUGAAGAUUUGCAACAAUUUGAAAAAACAGACAAACCAUGUAGCCUAGAAAUAUCAAAAAAUUAAGAAAAAUUAGAUAUGGCAUGAAUGCAUAAAAUGUAUGCUAGUCUAUUUUAUCAUUUACUGCCAUAAAAUAUACAAAAAUAUAUUAUAGAAAAUUAACAUUUAACAAAACUUAGGCACACAAACACAUACAUGGCGCCAUUCACCAUCGAGAAAUGUAAACAGAUCUAAAAUUGAUUUAUUAGUCAUAACUUCAUAAAAUUAACUGUAAUAAAACAGUACUAUUGUAAUAAUUUUGUGGCCACUUCCUGUUGCUAUUGUAGUGAGCUCAUGUUGGAAGUAUCCACUUAAAAUGCCAUGUGACCCUAAUCAUCUCGGCAUGAGCAGCUCAUUUCUCUGGUAAAUUGCUUAUCACAUUAAAAAGUGAUCUCUCUUGGUUCUUGCAUGUUUUUUAUUGUGUUCAGUGCAAUACUGUAAACUUUAAAUAACACCAUGGGACCCCUAUGAAAUGCCACUAGUAAUGCUGGAAGUGCUCCCAAGAAGCAGAGAAAAAUCAUGACAAGAAAAAGUUGAGUUGCUUAAUAUGUACUAUAGAUUGAGGUUUGCAGCUGUGUCCACUAUUUCAGACAGAUGAUUCACCUUGUAAACAGAUGAUGUAAACUUACAGUAUUGAUAAAUACAACACAGUACUGUAAAUGUAUUUUCUCCUCUUGAUUUUCUUAAUAACAUUUUCUUUUCUCUAGCUUACUUUAUUGUAAGAAUACAGUAUAUAAUAUAUAUAACAUACAAAAUAUGUGUUAAUUGACUAUGUUAUUGUGAAGACUUCCAGUCCACAGUAGGCUGUUAGUAGUUAAAUUUUGGGGGAUGAUACGUGGAUUUUCAAUGGUGUAGGUGGCGGGCAUCCCUAACCCCCAUGCUGUUGAAGGAUCAGUUGUACAUUAAAUUUUUUUUCUGUGCAUCUAUAAUUAUUUCAGAAUAAAGUUAAGAGUUAAAAGUAUUGCCAUAUUAUAUAAUGCUAAUAUAAGAGGAUUAUAUAUUAGCUAAUAUAUAUAAAUAUAUCUUAAAAAUGUAUUAUAUAUUUUUUCCUCUAAUAUUAGCUAGUAUUACAAUACUGUGCUUAUAUAAUGUUUACAAGGUGAAUAAUAUAUAUAUACUAGCUAAUAUAAGCUAAUGUUAGAGGAAAAGAGAUAAUUCUUCCUUUGUUACAUGAUUUAUUUAAAGAAACGAGUGAAUAUUGACAGUUUAUUGAGCAAUCUAUCCAUCACUGAUCUCUGAGGUGUUCUUUAGAGAAAAGUUAAUGUGACAGAAAGAGUGUGUGUAUGUUUAUUCAGUCCCAUCUAAUCUAAUUUAGAAGAGUUGCAUGAAAGGACCCAUUUGUUUUUUUUAGUUGUUAUUGUUAAUGUUAGCAAAAGGGAAGGAGAUGAUAUUAGAUAAAGAAAAAGAGAAAAGCAGAUCGUCUUUUAUGUGAGGUUAUUGUUAGGGAGGUGGCACGUAAGAGAGGACUGGCAAUUUUCAAUUUUGGCAAUCCAGAAUGACUUCUGUCUUAGAAAAUGAAAAGCAAUUUAUUUUCUUUAGGAGUGUUUAGCACUGUGAAUGUUCACAGAAACAUGUUUGUUUGCUGUCAGAUAUGUGGGAAUAAGCUGAAGCCCAUAAAAGUUGGAUGGAGACUUAGCAACUUGGGAAAUAAAAUAUUCUGACAGUUUCUAGCUUUGGACUUCAACCUAUUUCAGUGAUAGUAACAUCAAUGUCCUAUGCUUUUCCCCAUGGUUCUGUGAUUUGACAAUGUACAGUGUAAGCAAGAAUAAGAGAAAUACUUUUUCUUUUUUAAAAGAUAAUUUUAAAGGUUGUGAUAUGGCUUGUCUUAGUACUUCUUUUGGUAUUUCAAAAUACCUUAUGAUAAGAGACAAUCUAACAUGGGAAAUAGUGAAACCACCUUUGCAAAAUUAUAACUGAGGAAAUUAUGAUAAUGAAAGAAAUCAGAUAUAACCGAUUCCAUCUUGCUUCCAACCUUUAAGCUGUCCUUGUUCAUUCCUGGGCAUAGGCUGAACUAACCUUGGGAAGGAAUUCAGUUCAUGGUUUGACUCUGAAACAAAAUUGAUAAAAAUUUUGUUUCCCAAAAAGACCCCUUUCUCACCUGGGGGCCAGUCUGCCUUUGUAGGACUAACAAAUUAGUUACAAGAUUAGAAAUCACAGUUCAGGGGUCAUGCAACCCCUGGCUCCAAGAGUCUGAACCUCCCCAGAUUGCUCCUGGGGAGAACAUCACUACUGUAAAACCUAAGAUCAGUCCUUGAGAUAUUUUUCAGACUCUGUACUUACUGGGUCAGCUGAGACCAUCCAGACCGGUAAUCUGGCUCAACCAGUUCUGCCAUCUCACCCAGGAACAGAAGACAGCAAGAAAAACUGACUUCGACUCCCUAUGAUUCCAUCUCCAAUCUGACCAAUCAGCACUCCCCAAUUCCCAAGACCCUACCCGCCAAAUUAUCUUUAAAAACUCUGAUCCCAUAUGGGGAGACUGAUUUGAGUAAUAAUAAAACUCUGGUCUCCUGCACAGCUGCUCUGUGUGAAUUACUCUUUCUCCACUGCAAUUCCCCUGUCUUGAUAAAUUGGCUGUCUAGGCAGCGGGUUGAGGUGAACCCAUUGGGCAGUUAGAAUAGGUCUGAUAAUAUCUUCACGUAUUCUGGCACGCCGCACUAACUAAACUUUGGAAAGUUUAGCAGCAGAUCUAUGGAAACUUAUUUAAUUUUACCCCAGCAUAUGAAUAAAUUUAUCAAGAAGGAAGCGAAAUUGGUUAUGUCACUUUAUUUUAUAACUAUUUUGUCCACAUUUUCCUUUUUCUAAGGAAUGAAUAUUUACUUGAAAGGCCCACAGACAUUAUUUAGUUAUCUUUACCAUGCAUUUGUUUCUUUUAAUAUGGCACCAUGUGGAAGUGUAGUUUUGCUCAACUCAUACGUGUGUGAAAGAAAGCAUAGUGAAUAUGACUAAGUGCAUAGGCCCAGGAACCAGAUGACCUGGGUUUAAAUCCCAGCUCUUACUGUGACCCUCAGGCAAGUGCCUUCUUUUAACUCAGUUUCCUCAUCUGUAAAACAGGAAUUUCAUUGUUUAAAAUUGUGGGGUCCAAUUAUUCUGAGGUUAAUAGUAAAGCAGUAUUUUUCAGGUGCCCUGGCACAAAAGGGCUGGAAGUGCAAAAAGAAAGACAAAUGGGACUGGAGCAAUAAAAUGGAAGAUGAAGGGGUGAUAUCCAGAGAUCAGAAAUUGGAGAUGCCCCUGGGCUGGCUGCUGCACCAUUGGAGGCACUGUUAGAGUCAAGCUUGGAUCUGCUGAAGAGGUGUCACUCAGCCAAAGGGUGCUGCCUCUGCCCUAGCUGGUCAUCUGGAUUCACUUCAUUCACAUAGCAGCAAGAGUAUCUGCCACCAACUACCAUACAUUUGGAGUCAAGAGCCUUUCUCUUUUUUUUUUCAGCCUUCUCAGUUCCUUUCAGUGCCUAACAAGAGAAGCAAGAGAGCCUGGAAAUGUAGUUUGAUACCUCCCAGCCCUAGAUGUUCACAGUAUAGAAGGAGAGACUGUGACUUCUGUCUUGCUCGCCAUUUCUCAUUCUCUCUUUUUGGAGCUCUUGCUCUGGAGGAAGUGAGCUGCCAUGUUAUAAACUGCCCUAUGAAGAGGUCCAUGUGACAAGGAACUGAUGUCCCUGGCCAACAGCCAGUGAGGCCCUAAGGCCUGCAACACUCUGUGAGUGAGCCUGGAAAUGAAUCUUCUGAGCCUACCAACAACCACACUGAUCCUUAAAAUGGCUAUAGCUCCAGGUCCUUGAUUGCAGUCUUUCAAAAGACUGUGAUUCAGGGCAUUCAGGAAAGUCAUGUUUGAAUUUUUGACCCACGGAAACUUUGAGAUAAUAAGUGUUGUUUUAUUAUUUAUUUUUAAGCCACCAAAUCGGGGAGUAAUUUGUUACACAGAAAUAGAAAGUACAUCCAGGAAUGUGACUGUUGGGUUGUAGGAUGCAUAUGUAGGGGGAAAAUAACUCCCAUACGUUUGUAAUCGGAAAAGAUCCCCGUUACAAAAGACAGAUUAACAAGAGAAAAACAAGUUUAUUAACGUGUAUUUCAUAUGUACAAGGGAGAUAUCAAUGAUUAGUUCUCAAAGAAGUAGCUUUGAAUUCUAGCUUUUAUUUUAUUUUCAACAAAGAAGAGUAAAUUUUUAGAGAAGUGACAGCACAAAGGAAAAGGACUUGGAGUCUCUACAAGCAGCAACUUGUGGGGAAGGCAAACAAAUGGCAGAUAAAGGAUGGUAAAGGAGGUGGUGUUACAUUUCUGUACUGCUGGUGCAUUGAGAGACCCAAGCAAGUAUCAGGCUUUUCAUCCGUGGAACACAUGCUCCAGAACCUUCUAGCUGUUCACUUGUGAUGGAUACUCUGUUAGCCUUCACUAUUGAAUGCACUUUUAAAAAUGAUCAAAACCAACAUUUCCCACAGUAUGAAAUGUUUGCAAAAAAGGUAUGUUGGGUUUGUUAGGGCUAGAAAUUGUUAUUCUAAGUAAAGAAACCUGGAGAAUUUUCCUAAGCCAGCUAAAUUUAUUCGACAACAGUACAGUUUUAUUUGAUGCCUGCUGCUAAGUUUAAUUAAGUUAUUUGCUGGGUUUUCCAUUUGUCCCUCUGACUUUAGUGUAAACUUAUUACUCAUCCAAGAUGUGGGCCAAUGCUUCUUUUCAAACUUGUGCUAACUAAUAACAGAGACCAGAGCUGGAACUUAGUCAAGGCAAAGCUACAAGCCAAACAGUGGUGGAGAAGGGUGGAACAUGUCGUGACUUGAGGUAAUGAUGAGCAUGUGGGUGAAGUGAGGGGCAGUAAGACCAUAUGGGGAACGCUGAGGCCAAGUGGGUGUGUGUCAAUGGAGGGCAUGCAUGCAUAGGGUUGGGCACUGGGCACUCCCCGUAUAACCACUAACAGAUUAAAAACUCUGGUACUUUUGCUGAUUCCUUAAAUAAGGGAAUAUAUGGAAUUUUGUAUAAGUCUCAGUUGUGAUGAAUUGUUCCUCAGUUGUGAUGAAUUGUUUCUGCAGUUAACCAAAUUGGGAUUUGGAACAUUUAAAAGCCUGAUAUACAAUGUACAAAAUUCAGUAGCACUUCUGUACUUCUUUUUUUGUUUUUUUGAGUCAGGGUCUCACUCUGUCACCAGGCUGGAGUGUAGUGGUGCGAUCUCAGCUCACGGCAACCUUUGCCUCCCAGGCUCAUGUGAUACUCCCAACUCAGCCUCCCAAGUAGCUGGGACUACAGGCAUGCAUCACCACGUCCAGCUAAUUUCUGUAUCUUUUGGUAGAGAUGGGGGUUUUGCUAUGUUGCCUAGGCUGGUCUCGAACUCCUGAGCUCAGGCGAUCUGCCUGUGUCAGCCUCCCAAGGUGCUUGGAUUACAGGCGUGAGCCACUGUGCCCUGCCAAAAAUCAGUAGCACUUCUAGAUACCAACAACAUCUAAGCUAAGAACCAAAUCAAGAAUGCAAUCUCAUUCACAAUAGCCACAAGAAGAAUGAAAUACCCAGGAAUACAGCUAACCAGGGAGUGAAAGAUCUGUACAAUGAGAAUUACAAAACACUGCUGAAAGAAAUCAGAGAUGACACAAACAAAUGGAAAAAUGUUUCAUGCUCAUGAAUAGGAAAAAUCAAUAUUGUUAAAAUGGACAUAUUGCCCGAAGUGAUUUACAGAUUCAAUGUGAUUCCUAUCAAACUACCAAUGACAUUCUUUACAGAAUUAGAAAAAGUUUUUUCUUAUUUAAAAUUCAUAUAGAAACAAAAAAGAGCCUGAAUAGCCAAAGCAAUUCUAAACAAAAAGAACAAAGCUGGAAGCAUCACAUUAUCCUACUUCAAACUAUGUUACGAGUCUACAGUGACCAAAACAGCAUGGUACUGUACAAAAACAGACACAUAGACCAAUGGAACCAAAUAGAGUGCCCAGAAAUAAAGCUGCACACCUGCAACCAUCUGAUCUUUGACAAAGUCAAUGAAAACAAGCAAUAGGGAAAGGACUCCCUGUUUAAUAAAUCAUGCUGGGAUAGCUUGCUCGCCAUAUGCAGAAGAUUGAAACUGGACCCCUACCUUUCACCAUAUAGAAAAAUUAACUCAAGAUGGAUUAAAGACUUAUAUGUAAAACCUAAAACUAUAAAAACUCUCGUAGAAAACCUAGGAAAUACCAUUCCAGACAUAGGCCCUGGCAAAGAUUUCAUGAUGAAGGUGCCAAAAGCAAUUGCAACAAAAACAAAAAUUGGCAAAUGGGACCUAGUUAUACUAAAGACCUUCUGCACAGCAAAAGAAACAAUCAACAGAGUAAACAGAUAAUCCACAGAAUGGGGGAAAAUAUUUGCAAACUAUGAAUCUGACAAAGGUCUAAUAUUCAGGAUCUAAAAGGAGCUUAAACAAAUUAACAAGCAAAAACCAAGCAACUCCCUUAAACAGUGGGCAAAGGGCAUGAACGCUUUUCAAAAGAAGGCAUAACAAAUGGCCAACAAGCAUAUGAAAAAAUGUCCAACAUCACUAAUCACUAGAGAAAUGCAAAUCAAAACCACAAUGAGAUAGAUACCAUUUUCCACCAGUCAGAAUGACUAUUACUAAAAGGUCAAAAAAUAACAGAUGCUGGUGAGGUUGUAGGAAAAAGGGAACGCUUAUGCACUACUGGUGGGAAUGUAAAUUAGUUCAGCCCCCAUGGAAAGCAGUUUGGUGAUUUCUCAAAGAACUUAAAACAGAACUACCAUUCAACCCAACAAUCCCAUUAUUGGGUAUAUACCCAAAGGAAUAUAAAUCAUUCUACCAUAAAGACACAUGCAUGCAUAUGUUCAUUGCAGCACUAUUCACAAUGGCAAAGACAUGGAAUCAACCUAGAUGCCCAUCAACAGUAGACUGGAUAAAGAAAAUGUGGUACAUAUACAUAUGGAGUACUAUGCAGCCAUAAAAAUUAAUAAGAUCAUGUCCUUUACAGCAACAUGGUUGGAGCUGGAGUUAUUUUAAGUUAUUCUAAGAAAACUAACCUAGGAACCAAAAACCAAAUGCUGUGUGUUCUCACUUAUAAGUGGGAGCUAAACAUUGGUACAUAUGGACACAAAGAAGGGAACAAUAGGCACUGGGACCUACUUGAGGGUGGAGGGUGGGAAGCAGGUGAAGAUCAAAAAACUACCUUGGAUACCAUGUUUAUUACUAGGUGAUGAAAUAAUCUAUACACCAAACUCCUGCAACAUGCAAUUUACAUAUAUUACAAACCUGCACAUAUACUCCUGAAACUAAGUGUUUUUCUUAAAAUUAAUGUAAAGAUAGUUUGCUUUACAUUCCUCUUACCACAUGCAACAGGUCACAUGCAUCAUAAA